GACAGAGGGUGCGAACGUUGCUCGGAAUUACUGGGCGUAAAGCGCGUGUAGGUGGCCACGCCAGUGGGGUGUGAAAGCCCGGGGCUCAACCCCGGACGUGCACUCCAAACUACGUGGCUAGAGUCCUGGAGAGGCGAGCGGAAUUCCCGGUGUAGAGGUGAAAUUCGUAGAUAUCGGGAGGAACACCAGUGGCGCAGGCGGCUCGCUGGACAGGCACUGACACUGAGACGCGAAAGCGUGGGUAGCAAACAGG
rnacentral:rRNA from 1 species